CAGCCGCCGCGGGAAUACGUAGGUGGCAAGCGUUGUCCGGAAUUAUUGGGCGUAAAGGGCUCGCAGGCGGUUUCUUAAGUCUGAUGUGAAAGCCCCCGGCUCAACCGGGGAGGGUCAUUGGAAACUGGGAAACUUGAGUGCAGAAGAGGAGAGUGGAAUUCCACGUGUAGCGGUGAAAUGCGUAGAGAUGUGGAGGAACACCAGCGGCGAAGGCGACUCUCUGGUCUGUAACUGACGCUGAGGAGCGAAAGCGUGGGGAGCGAACAGGAUUAGAUACCCCAGUAGUCCCUGUCUCUUAUAC
rnacentral:rRNA from 1 species